UCAUUGGUAGUUCGGUGGUAGAAUUCUCACCUUCCAUGUGGAAAACCUGGGUUUGAUUCCCAGCCAAUGAA
rnacentral:tRNA from 1 species